AUGGACCACUCGUACACUCCGGAUCUGAGCGCUGUCCACAUCCACCUGACGACGGCUCGCGCUUUUGGUCGCC
rnacentral:sRNA from 1 species